rnacentral:siRNA from 1 species
AGCCACUCCGGAUCUUCUUUGCUC